UACGAAGGGGGCUAGCGUUGUUCGGAUUUACUGGGCGUAAAGCGCACGUAGGCGGAUUGGUCAGUUAGAGGUGAAAUCCCGAAGCUCAACUUCGGAACUGCCUUUAAUACUGCCAGUCUAGAGUCCGGAAGAGGUGAGUGGAACUCCUAGUGUAGAGGUGGAAUUCGUAGAUAUUAGGAAGAACACCAGUGGCGAAGGCGGCUCACUGGUCCGGUACUGACGCUGAGGUGCGAAAGCGUGGGGAGCAAAC
rnacentral:rRNA from 1 species